CUCCGGCCGCGCCCGCCAUGGCCCGCACGCGGCGGCGCCCCCUGGCGGCGGCGGGCGGCAAUGGCGGCGCCUGAGGGGCCGGGGCAGGGCCGGGAGCCCGGGAAUGGCGGCGGCGUUCGGGGUGAGAGGAACCCGAGCCCACCGAGCCCGACCGCUCCCCCAGCACCGCCAAGGCCACCCUAACCCGUGUCCCAAGCCCUGCAUAAUGUUCCAGGGGGAUGAGGCCCCACGUCCUUGUCCCAGCCCUGAAGGAGCAGCACAGUUACCAACAGUGCUCAGAAACAGCCCCUCCAGCCCCCAUUUCACCUCCGAGCCCGGUAACACACAAAAAGCCUUUCUUUCCUCCCUCCACUCCCCUCCAGUUCUCACAAGCCAUCAAAAAUUGCAAAUUUUUCCCGGUAACAUUCCAGACAGGGUGGCUGCAGAGGGAGUUAAGAGGUAACGCUUUUAUUUUGAUCCAAAUGUAUUUGAAGUGGAAGCUCUUGGUGCAGGGGCCAAUGCUCUGGGCCCUUGAGCAAGAAGAAAGAAGAGUCUUCCCGGGGAGGAAGGAGACACCUCCACAAUGUCAGCAAAUUCAAGAGAUCCUAGGUCAUGUCUGGGCCAUGGCUGCAUGUCCCUCCCAUUGGUCUGAUUAUAGUCCUGCCCAUUUUGGACCAGAAAGUCACUUCCACCGAUGAUCGCUGCUGCUUCUUGUACAACUGAAACAGCCUAAAAACCCCACAAAGUUCCCUGAACAAAACCUCAGCCUGUUUCAGUCAUUCCUCACUGGAUCUGCUGUACCUUGGCAGGAGCUGCACUCACAGAACACACGUUUUCCUGGGCUUUGCCAAAACCUUUUCCUGGAUCCUGUCAUUCUUCCCCCCAUGCCCGGCUCGGAUGUGGCCGUGGAGCAUUCCCCUCCCAGGUGCUCUCUGGGAUGGGUUCACUGUGCCCCUCUUCUCCUGCAGCAGCAGCUCCAGGCUUUGCAGGGUUUAAAAUCUCUGGGGUGCAAAUUUCACAGCUACUUGUAUUUAUUUUCUUUCCUGAGCAUCACAGGCUACCCAAAAUGAACAUUCAACAAAUCAACCUCAAAUGUGGCUUUUUCAGGGGAACACUAAAUUACAGACAACGUUAAUGGAGAAUGACAUUAAUGUGUGUCCAUGGAUGCAUGUUCAAGAGGGGAGAAAAUUAAAAAAAGAAAAUAUGGCAGCUCUGAGAAUGAAAAGGCUUCGUUUUCAGCCUUCCCAGGCUCUGCUGUUACCUGGGUGUUACCAGCAGCAGCUGCAGCAGGGCAGAAGGCAGCACAAAGUCUUUCCCAAUGGACACAUUUACCAAGAUGGAAAUUAAAUUAAGCAAAGUCCACUCUGCAAAGCACUACCAAAGCCCCUUGUAGGUCUUGGCACCUGAAUGAUCUAGAAAAACCACACAUCACCAGCACUCGGAGACUCAACAUCUCCCAAGCCCUGGAUGUCCAGAGGCACCAGCAUUAAACCCUCUGAGGAGCAGCAGCUUUGCAGGGAGAGCUCAGUUGCUCUGUGCUGUUUGCAGCUGCAGCUCUGCCCUGGAUGGGAAGGACUCUCUCUGGAUAUAAAAAUUGGAUAUAAACUGGAAUAUCCACUGCUUAAAGCAACAAGAUCAGUUUGACUUUACAGCUGCCAGAUAAAACAGCAGGGCCAGACCCAGUUCAGCAUCUUGGUAGAAAAAAUUCAUUAAAACCCAGAUUCUCUGUAUCCAGCAAAAAUAUUUUGCAAGGGGAGGGGAUAAGGAAUGCACAGAGGAGACAAUGUAGUGUCAUCAGAUAGUAUUUUAAUAAAAUGUACAGAAGUUUACAAGUCAAACAUUUCUUCAUGAUUACCAGAAACAGAUGAUCCCACCUGGAGUGCAAAACUUGGCCCCACUGAUGUGCCAGGCUGAGGUGGCUCCACGGCUGCUCAGGGACCACACAGAGGGGAAACUCUGCUCGUGGGACACGAGUCAGGUUGUGUGUCACAGUCAGGGGCCCACAGACACUCCCAGCUCCCCUUCCCGCUCCACGUGGGAACAAGGGAACUUCCUUCGCUCCUGGACUGGGUGAGGGUGCUCUACCCACUGCACCCUACACCCGAGUGAGUCCCCUGCCCUCCCACCCCAUCCCUGGGAGGGAUCGGGAACACUGGAUCAACAUUAUCCCUCCAGCUUCACAGGGAGCAUUUCUAGGUGUGUGUGAGGGUAUUUACCCACCUACAACGGAAACUACAGGCCGUGGCCUAUUUUUAGAAACACUAAUGCAGCUGUGAUCAGGCUUCAGGAAUGUGUUUCCCAACUGGACCAAGAUUUCACUGUCAGGACACCACUGUAAAAAUGCUUUGGAGUCUGUCGGUGUGCUGAAAGGCCUUGAUUUAACACCACGAGGAAAACAAACAAACAAACAAAAAACCAACAAAAAUUCAACUCCCCAACAGAAGAGUCUUUGGUGGAAGCUGAGUUAAAGUAACCGAUUACCACUUUGGAGUGACUGACAGUUCAGCAGCUGAGCAGAUCCUGCCCAGUUUGCUGCUGUCCCGCAGAGGAUGCUCCGGGAUGCGUCACGAUGCUCACAGGGGCUCAGCAUCACCUCUGUGCUCCAGGCAGGGUGUGCACCCCAGGCUGGGUGUGUGCUGGCUUCAGGAGGCUGAACUGUAAACUUAACACCAGGUGUGACGAUGCUGAGCUGGCUGGAGGGAGAGGAGACACGGGGAAAGCCCCUGAAAUCCUGCAGAGCCGGGCAGGACACAGGUCCAGGUCCCCCCACGGCGCUGUACCAACGUCAUGGCAGUGAGCACAGAGCCAAGCCAACUGCUUGCUCUAUUCACACAGAAACUCUGAUUAAUCACUUUGAAAAGAGACUUGAAGUGCAUUCAGGGAGUGAGAACCAAGAACCACUCCCUCUCCCAGCAGGAAUCCCAGAUUGUCCAAAGAUCCCUGCGAAACCCUCCGACCGUGCAGGAGGGCUCAGGGCAGUGAACAGAAUUUACUACAGCUUUACUAAAGAGAUGAAACCAGUGCUCCUCUUCAGAAAACUGAUUUCAAAACACUGCAUUGAGGCUGUACUAGUCUUACUUCAUUAGGAUCACUGGUUGUGUGGCAAAUAAUUAGCAUCAUUCUUCCCUGUUUUAACAUUACAACAGCAAGCUUCAGAGACUAGAGAAAUGAAAUUUCCAUUUAUAACUCAUCACACUGAGGCUGCAGCAGUGGCAGUGCAGGAUUAGGAGGAACACAGGCUGGAAAUGAGAAGGAUAUCAGAGUAACAGGCCCUGAAAUUGAGUCUUAUGACCAUAACCAAAAGUCCCAUUACUUUAUGAGCUACAUGCAGAGAUACAAACGAGCUGCCUCCGCCCUCAGAAGAGAUUUAAAACCAUUUAAGCACUGGAUGUGUCUGGCAGGAUUGUGAGCUCUAGGGCACAGUCAGCCUGCAAUUUGUGUAAAGUGCUUGAAGGACAAAAAAGCUGCCAAAAUGCCAGCUGGAAACUCAGCCUGACCCAACCUAACAGGGCUGGAAAUGAGCCCAGACACCCCAGUGUACCUUCCCUUUGAGCACAGAGGGGACAGGCUAAUACUCCUCCAGCACCAGCUCCGUGGCACCUGGACGUGGCAAGACCAGAAACUUCACAGAAUUAUCCAAAAGCAAUUUUUCAAGUAAAAAUGAAGGGCAGGAAGAACCUGAAUGCAGUGAGCAGAGGGAACACCCUGAACCCACCUGGGGUUCAGCAAAGCAUCUCCCUGUUCUGCAGGUUCAUCCCACACUGCCAAGGCCUGGCCUCCCUUCCAGCAGCUUCUGAGUGAAUUUAAGAGCUCGAGGCCAAGUGCAGCCUCCUGGCUCAGUGUGGCUGCGACACAGGUUGGUGUUGGGACAAAUCUGGGCCCUCACACUCCCCCUCCUUGAAUUCACAGUUUGCUGUCACAGUCGCUCUCAGGGCCUCUCACUGAUCCUAUCCAGCAACAACCAACUUGGGGAUACAGAGAUUUAAAACAAAAAAACAAAACCAACCACCUGUUGGGUGUAUACUUAAACAGAAAACUAAAAAACAAAACAAUAAACAGCCUCAGCUUUGCUGAAUAAACAUCUCAAGGGAAACCCAGAAACUUCUUUUACAGUACUUCUAUUUUCAAGAGGUGGUGAUGGAGGACAGAAAGCCCCUAAACCACCACUAUGCACCAAUAUUUAUUAGCUGUGAGUGCAGCAGAGCAGGGCAGAAGGUUCCCAGCUCCACACGCUCCAGCUGACCUGUUCACCAGGAACUUGUGCAAGCCAACGUGGCCUCCCUGCUUUCCAGUAUUCUCCCUGCCCAGCCCAGGGCUCUCAGACCUCAGCCCAAGCACUUCCCUCUCCCUUCCAGGCAACCCCCGUGUCCAGCAGAACACCUGGCUCAUCUCUUGCAACUGGAGAUAUUUUGGAGGGGAUUCAAAUUCAGGGAGGGGAAAGGGAACACUGAGCAGUCGGUGAUUCCCACUUGCAGAUGUUUUGCAGUCCCCUCCCAGCACUCAGGGAUUUUCCAUCCACCUGUCCAUCCAUCCCUCCAUCCUCCCGCUGUGUGGCUGGGAUGAAAGGUGAGCAGCGAGUCUGCCCCAGACUGUGCAAUGUCCUCUUUUUUUCAGCCUUCACACACAUCUUUUCUGUGCCUCCUGUGUUCCUUUAACACUUAUUAUUUGGACCUCGGACAGAGCCAUGUGCUGGAGGUGGUCUCAGGGUUUUUUCUCUCCAAACUACACCAAAGUCUAUUUUCAGCUGCAGCAGCUCCCCAGGGUGUGACUCCAGUGAGUCAGGAGGAGCUACAGCUGAUCCUUCCCUCUCUCCAAGGGCCACUACUCGAGGGACACUACUCACAGGACUUGCUCUCUGAGUACAAACACGUCAGCAAGUGGACAGGGAGGAACCUGCUCUGCACACAGCCAGUCCUGACCUCAGAGACCAACCCACGGCUCCAACAAUUCCCCUGCAAACGUCCAAAGACCACAAACCCACUCGUGGGAGACCCCCAAACACAAACUGUGUCCUUUACCCUCAGCACAAGGCUCCAGCUUGGACUGGGAGCUUGGACUGGGAUCCCACAGAGCCCUGAUAACCAGGUCUUUGAGAGCCAGUCCACUCUCACAAGCACCUUUGCAGGCCAGAAACAGCAGAUCCAGGGCAACUUCUGCAACCAGGCAUUUUGCAAAAUAAACAUGGGAGGUUCCACUCUCCUCUCUGUCCUCCACUAGUGAGCAGAGCAGGGAGCACAGUCUGCCCUGGGCCUGCCCAGUGCCUGCCCGGGGGAUUCUGCCUCUGAACACUCUGGCUGCUCACACAGUAAGUACUUGUCCUUCUCUUUGGGACUGGGAUAGAAAACAUAAUACUAGCGAAUGGAUUUUGUUGAAAUUCAUCCUUAAUCAACAAGAAAACAAAAGGCAGAAUUUACUCUGAGUCGAGCUCUGCCAGUACAAACCCAUCUAACAGGACCAAGUCACACCACGUGAGGUACAUCAGCACAGCUAUGGAGCUGUUUGCAUCAUAAAUUUCCCCCAAAGGUCUAUUUUUAAUACUGUAAAUACACAUCUCUCCUUCACCAAGAGCAGAUUUCCGGGUCCUACACUUUGGCAUAGACCAGACAGGAAAUACAUGUGUAAAAGUGAAAGCUUUGCCUGAUUGUUUGCACAAUAAUUUGAUUUUCCAGCAGCAGGAACAGCCUGAUUGCCUCACUGGAGUUCCCAAGACUGAAGGCACUGUGAGUCCUUCCCUGACUGGUGUGGCCCCACCCCAGGCAGCACUGCCACGUGUCCCACCCCAGGGAGAGCAGAGCCACGGCUCUGCUCCCACCACCCUGCACAGCCUGGCCCCAGAGAGCACUGCAGGGUCUGCCUGGGUGGGCACAUCACCCCCAACACCCACCCAGAGCCACAGCUGCCACGGCCACACCGCUGCUGAGCAGCAGGAAUAGCACUGACGGCAAAGAAGUCACAAUAAGCCUUUAACCUGUGAAAUCACGUCCUUUCCAGAGCAUUAGAAAGUCCUGCUUGACUUGCUCUGUAAUUAAUAAACCUUUUAAUUCAUCUUAUAAUGCAUUUCUCUAGCCAGGACCAGAAAAUAUGGAAUACUACUAGUUUGGAAAAGCAUCUAAAAAAAUAAAUGGGGGGAAGACAGUGAGAGGAGGAAGGUGAGAAAGGCUCUGAGGAUCCUGAGAGCCAGGCAUUGGGACUAACAUAACUUAGAACGGUUCCACUACCUAUCACUGCAGAGAGAGUUCCGACCAAAAAUAAUAAUUAUUUUAUACAUAUAUAUUGCUAUGUCAUUCCUUUCGACGCAGAGGUCCGAGGUGCUGUGCGAGGUGUCCCGCAGGAAGCGCAGCCCCAGCCCCCAGCACGUUAAGGCUUCUGCUUCCCCGCUUUGGAGGGGAAGGGCGCCGAGGAGAAGGGAUCCGCGCCGGGCAGCUCCGUAGUCCUGGAGGACAGCGGGACCACAGAGACAGAGCCCGCUAUGGCCUGCCUGUUGGUCUGAGACACCACUUUGUAAGCAGCUAUGGGCUUGGCCUCGAGGCCUGGCCCGUCCUCGGGGCUGUAGUGCCGGGAAUACUUGGACAGGGACUGCGGACGGAAAGGCUGGUUCCCCGCGGCGCCCAGCGCGGCGUCCGGGGGCAGCGCGGGGCCUUGGCUCCUCUCCCCAGCCACGUCCCCCUGCUCCGGCAGCCCUCCUUUAGCAGGGACGCUCUCCUGGGCCUCCACAGCUCUCCCGGAGCAGGGAUGGAGGCUGCCUGGCUGAGGGAACCCGGCAGGAGGAUACUGAGACCUCGCCGAGGCCGCGGCCCCGUGCGCCGCCGAAUCCAGGCUGGGGAGCAGCGGGAGAGCUCGGCCAUCGCCCCCUUGGCUGAGGAAAACAGGUGCUGGGAACGGCUCCUUAUGGGAAGUCAACUCUUCCAUGCUUUUCUUCUUAGUGAAAGGGGCUCUCAGAAACACAUCUGCUUCUUCUGGAUGUCGCAGAGCCACGUUGCCCUUGGAGAGAAAAGGAGCUUUGGUAAAGACAUCCCCCUCAUCCAGCACUUUCCUGGAGCUUCGGAAAGGAGCCGUGGCAAAAACAUCCGGUUCGUUAAAAGCCUCCCCGGUGUGCGACUGGAAGGCUGGGAACAGCAUCUCCCCUGCUCUGGACUGGGAGUGAGGAUCUCCCUUGGAGGCCUCGUGCCUCUCCCUGGGCACAGGCUGCAGGAACCCUGGGCACAGCUUGCACGUCUCCUCUUCCUCUUCCGAAUCCAUCAGUAAAGGCCUGGACCCGCUGCAAUCCAGAAUAUCUCCCUCAUGGUCUGUGCCCUCUCCUUCACUGCUGUAGAAGGAGCUGUUGCUUGAAGGACCAUCUCUGGCUAAAUAUUCUGACUCCGAGUUGUGCUGCACUUUCACCUCCAGCAUCUUGGACUGACCCUUGUACAAAGCGAGUCCGUCACUGCCAGAAUCUGCUUUACAGAGCUCAAGAGCUACAGCUGGGAACACGCCUGGAUCCCUCUGCAGACCUACAAACACAAGAGAAGAGUGUUACUCAACCAGCUCCACGCCCUUGGUCAUCAGUCAGCAUGAGAGGUACUUAUGACACAAGAACAUCACACUGUUCAGAUGGAAACCACCACCACGCAUGGAAAAUGGGCAGGAGAGGGAGGGAAACCAAUGGAACUAAAAAUGCCAGGAAGGUGUUUACGACACACGAGCUGACACACAACUAACCCAGCCUGGGGACACACAGGCACCACUGCUCAGAGGUGGAGGAUGUCUGACACACGCAGGGGGCACACGCAGCACUCUCAGCACCACCCACAGGUCUCCCCUCCCUCCCACCCGCGACGACGACACCACGGCAGAGGGUUCACGUCCCAACGCUGCUGCCCAGAGUGAAGCUCCAGCAGACAGACAAGUUCUGUCACUGCCUGCUGCCCUGCUGGCUGCCCUCUGAGCACAGCCACCGCUUGGCACAGCCUCUGUUCCUGUGAGCCAGCCCACGGAUACGUGGAAUUACACUCAGGCUUGGAAAAUACACAGGAGUGCCCCUCAAUCUGCUAAAAUAACAUGGCCCUUUCAAAGACUGAAGGUCAGCCUACAGCUUUUAGUGAAUCCUUGUAACUGCAGCAGCAGCAUUUUUAACUACUGCCAGAGAAACCAUUUUUAAACAUCCAUACCCUGACUUUAAAUCAAGGAUCAUGACUACAAUGACCUGGCUUGUUUCUGGAUUUGAUAACAAGACAGUGCAGGGAGAGGCUGCCCUGCCCUUCUCCAGGGUUGGUUUUGCCUCACGACUCACACAGACAGAACAGAAGAUCUCUUACCUUCACAGAACUACUGGCAGGUUGGGAGUGUGUCAUUGGACUCAUGUUAGCAAGAGGACAGGAAAAAAUCACAUGAAAACUAAGCAGUAGGAAUUGCAGGAAGAACGAGGAGGGUGAGGAGGCUGGUUGGUGCCCACGGACAGCAGGGCACUAACCCACACACCCUGCUGUGCCAGAGCAGCCUCCUCACCCAGGGGAAGCUCUGCCCAGGUCAGUCAUUCAUGUUUGCACACCCAUCACAGCCCUCAGGGCACUGCUCCAUGAGCCAUGGACACACACGGGUUAUCCCCUUCUCCAGCACCUCUCACAAUUAAAGACACAGCAGGCGUUCAUUAGGCAUCAAAACUGGUAUUUAUUGGGAAACUCUUCACUUGGAUACAUGACACUGCUAAAUAAAGACAGUGCAGAUAUGUGAACA